AAUCAUCUCAAUCGUAGCUUUUUGUGUUUUCAUUAGAGGGUUUCGUGAAGACCUUUUGCUCAAUCAAGCCUGUAUAAUUUCUAUAAGGCUCUUUGCUUCACUUGGGACCUGUGUCAUUUUUUAUUUUUUAUUUUUGAAAAAAGAAAAAUUCUGAGUCGGUUGUUGAUUUCUCUGUCAAGAAAGGUUGUAGAUGUAGAGCUGGUGGUACAGUCUGGGUCGGACUCGCAGAUGCCGGAACCGAUCCGAACGCGGACCCAGACCCGCGAUUCGAUACUUCGGAUGAAUCGGAAGAUGGCAGCGAGAGGCUGAGAGAAGUAGGUGGAUCGGUAGCUGAAGAUGAAGUAUCAAUCUGAUGAUGAUGAUGAUGACUCAACGGAGCAAUGGCACCUGAUAAAGGGAGGGGGUGUGAAAACUUGUGUUAAAGGCAUUCCAGGUAAACUCGAAUCGCUCAAGUCAGAUCCGGAUGGACUACCGGGGUUAAGAAACCCACCCGUAACGACUGUACCCGCACCGACACUAGCUGAUUUCUUUGUCGAAGACAUUAUAACAAUCCUAAUCUGGCGUUAAUCUUGUUGAUUUCGAUUUAUGCUCAGCAGUGGUCGUUCUGUGUACAUUUAAGUUUCUCACGCUAGAUCUAGAGUUAGAGCACAAAAUUUUAUAAGCUGUCGUGCACUCUCAUAAGUUCCCCACAUCAAAUUAGAGGAAAAGCAUGGGACUUUUUGAUGGAUUGCCUGUCUCUCCAAAUAAAGCAGAUUUAAGGGAAGAGCUUUCACGCAUAGAUGAGAGCUGGGCUGCUGCACGGUUUGAUUCAUUGCCUCAUGUUGUCCAUAUUUUGACAUCAAAAGAUCGUGAAGCUGAAGUUCAGUUUCUGAAGGAGCAAAGUGAUGUUGUUGAGGAGGUUGUGGAUGAAGUAGUGCAUGCUUAUCACAGUGGCUUCAACAAAGCAAUUCAAAAUUAUUCCCAGGUCCACAAAUAAUUGUCAAAGAUUUAUUUGGAUUAUGUACAUUUAUACUUAUUUUUAUUGAUUUCUUCAUAUAUACAUUUAUAGUAUUCAUGAUGGAAAAAAUGAUUUUUUUUAUAAGAAAAAUAAAUUAUUCCCGCACCGACACUGGCUGAUUUCUUUGUCGAAGACAUUAUAACAAUCCUAAUCAGAAGUUUCCAGGUAUAUAUAAUAUCAAAUAUAGCAAACGAUAUAUAAAAUUUUGUUGAUUUAUAGAUUAUUACAGAUAUAUAUAUUUUUACAAUUUUUUUUUUUAUAUAUAUAAUAAUAAAUAUAAUGAGAUUAGAAAAGAUGUUUUAGAAGGUGGUGGAGGCGGAGCCUCACAUUGGUCUGAGGGGAAAGAAAUGUUACAGGAGUGGGAAGGUAUAUAUAUGGUGGUUGAGUUUUGUAAGACUUUAAUGGUGGUUUCUGAGAUGUCCCUGCUUAAUAAUAUAUCAGAAAUCCAUUAUUAAUAUAUACACUUAUUAAUUAUAUAGACCAACAAUGGCAGUAGGGGGAUUAAGUACAGUUGGAGGAAUUGAAUAUGAAGCAAAAAUUACUCCAAUUGUUGUUAUUUCUUGUAUAAUGGCCACCACUGGAGGUCUUAUGUUUGGUUAUGAUAUUGGAAUUUCAGGGGGUGUGACACCUUUGGUGCUUCUUACACCACCAGAAGCCUCGGAAGAAGGCUGACCAUGUUGAUUGCCGGCAUUUUCUUCAUAAUUGGCACCAUUCUUAAUGCUGCUGCUAUCAACUUCCUUAUGCUUGUCCUUGGAAGGCUCAUGCUUGGUUGUAGUGUUGGUUUUGCUAAUCAGGUCAAUCCUGAAGCCUCCACUCCAAUUUACUCGCUCCGUGGCCUCGACAACUUCAAGUUCUUCUCAUUGUCUUUCUACCGGCAUCGGUAAGAGUACUCUGUCUUCAUUGUCUUUUUACUUCUCAACACCUUAUCGUCUUUUUACUCUAUUCUCAAAUUUGCUGGAUUCUUUCCAAUUUCGUUGACUUUAUGUUUGCUGGUAAUUAAAGUUUAUUGCAAUUUUUCUAGAAUUUUCAAUUGCGUGGGUACUGAUUUUGCUGCCCUUUUAUAUUUUAAAGUUAUUUGUUUUGUGAAAAAAAUAUACAUUGGUUUGCUUUUCUUAUCGAAUUUGUCUUCUGGGUUUUGUUUGCUUUCUUGUUUUAAAUUCUGCUCCAUUGUUUUGUUACUUCUUUCUAAUUCAUGCUUCGGUUAGCCAGUUUCUCGUUUUAAAUUCUGAGCACUAGAGUUAGAUCCAAACAAAGGCGUUUAAAGUGGGGUUGUUGUUGGUUGUAGUCUGUCUUUAUAUUUUUUUUUUUGGAUAAAAUAUAAACUUGUAUGACUCAAAGUGUGUGGUUGCAUUGGUUUGUUUAUUAAAGAAUAAUACAAAGUAAAUUUAUAACAUGUAAAUGUAAUAUAUGGUCAAUAAUUAAUCAUAUAUAUAUAUAUCAUCUUGUCUAAAACAAAUAUACAAACUAAUUAAUACACAUACAUAUAAACUUCAUCAUGCAUGCAUAAUAUUUAUAUACAUAUAUAUUGACUUUCAUCGUUCUCACAAUUAAUAUAAGUCAUUCUUUACAUAUCACACAAUACAUUAAAACAUAUGCAUAGAGUACUAUAGUGACCAUGAUCAUAUAUAUACAUACAGAUUAUAUAAUAUAUAUAUAGAGAUAUAUAAUUAGUAGUUGUUAGUACUCCCAAUCAUCACUCUUCCAAUAUUUGUUCCACAAGAUUGUAAUCCAUUAGAGCCAUCUCUAGGAGGACAAAAACUUAUAGGUAAAUAUGCUUCAAAUUCACAGCAAAACUCUGAUUUCCUAAAUCUUCUCUCCAAUCCCUCCCUUCCCUAUAUAUACAAUUCAAAUAUUUGUUACUUUAAUAAUUAAUAAAUAAAUAAACAAAAAAUUUAGAAAAACACCCACUAAUAUAUUAAUUGCACAUUUGGCUUAAAAAUAAAAUAAUAUGUUUAAUCAUAUAUAUAUAAUGUAGUUACUUGAAUGGUUGCAUGGACAAUUUGUCGAAUUUUAGGAGAUCUAAAAUAGUCCCAUUUUUUGUGAUCCAUAGCUUCCCAAAAUUUCAAUGCUGCUCUUGCAUCUGUGAAAUUAACAAAGGCAUAACCUUUGUUCAACUUUCUCCUACAAAAUUAAUUAAUAAUGAUAUAUAUUAUUAUUACAAUAAUAUUCAUAAUAAACUAAUAUUUAUAUAUAUAUAUAUAAUGCUUACCUGAAAUCCAUUGGAAGAUAGAGAAAAUCAUAGGCUGAGUAUAUAUGAUGAUGAUGAUCAUCAUUUUCCAACUUACAGAAGUUAUCCACAAACUCUAUAAGCAUUUCACGCCUAUCAUUUCAAGCAACAUUGCCAUAUAUAUAAAUUAUAUCAAUUAUAUAUAUGAUCAAAUAAAUAAAUAAAACUAAGGAAAAUUAAUUGAUAUAUUUUAUUUGUAACUUUUUUUUAAAAUUUACAGUAUAUAUGAUCAAAUAAAUAAAUAAAAUAUAAACAAACCAAUUUUUCUAAAAUUUUCAAUUGCGUGGGUACUGAUUUUGCUGCCCUUUUAUAUUUUAAAGUUAUUUGUUUUGUGAAAAAAAUAUACAUUGGUUUGCUUUUCUUAUCGAAUUUGUCUUCUGGGUUUUGUUUGCUUUCUUGUUUUAAAUUCUGCUCCAUUGUUUUGUUACUUCUUUCUAAUUCAUGCUUCGGUUAGCCAGUUUCUCGUUUUAAAUUCUGAGCACUAGAGUUAGAUCCAAACAAAGGCGUUUAAAACUCAUUGAUUUAUUUUGUAAUUAAUAUACACAAAAAAUUAAUUAAAAAUCAUUGAUUUUUUUGUACUUAAUAUAAUAUUGAAUUCUAUUACAUAUGUAGUUUUUUUUUUUUUUUUUUUUUUUUUUUGCGUAAAGCAUAUUAUUGGAUUGAAGCCGAAAUCAUGUUAAAAAAUAUCAACCAAGAUUUUUAUUACAUGUCGUGUGAUUUUUGUAAUAAGAAACUUAUGUUCUACAACGACAACGAAGAAACAAACAUUGUGAAAAUCCAAAAUGCGGAAAAAGAUGUCUUCCUACACCACGUGCAAGGACAUAUGUACAACUCGACGAUGAUACAGAGCUGCUAGAUGCUGUGAUGUUCGGUGAUGUUGCAGAAAACAUAUUCUCAUGUACUGCAGUUCAAUUAAGAUCAUAUUCGGACGAGAAACAUAAGUUGUUUGUCCAAAAAACUACAAGGCAAUUAUCAGCCAAAAAAUGGAGAAUUCAGUUGUACGUAGAUGCAAACUGCAAACCGAACAAUGAGUUCAAAGUACAAUCAGUUCACCAUUCAAGCAGUUGAACCAAUGGAAGAUUAGGCAGAAGUUGCCAUUUUUCUUUUACAGUAAUUUUAUUUUAUUUAGUGUUAAGACUUUUCUUGGUGCCGAGCUUCUUUCACUCUCUAUUGACUUGUUAUCUACGGAUUUACAUGGAGUAUCGUAUGCAAGUAUUUCAUGUACCCAAUUUUCUAGAAGUAAAUAAUAAGUAUCGUUUUAUUUUGAUUUA